UGUGAACACCAAAGAAGCUAAUAGCAUCGUCCAAAGUGUCAUGAUGGUCAUGCUCUCUGUCUAGCAACACGGUCAGAGAAAGUGUCUGACUCGUCCCAUCCAAGGAGCUAGCCAGGUAAAACCCCUGAGCCUUCCCUAUAACCGCUGAGCCUAGCUCGUGGCUUUCGGUUAGCUCAUCGUCCACAACGGUUAUGGUUCCAAACAUGAGAUGCUGGAGAGCAGCACCUGGAGGGAGGUUUCCCGCGGUUACAAAGGGGAGACUGUUGGUGCUGAGGGCGUCGUUGGAGUUUGCGUUGGUGUUUUGGAUCACUGUGCUGGUCUGUGCGCCGCCUAGGCCUGUGAGAAGCGGGGCUGUGUUUGGGUUAAUGACGCUGUUGAUGUUGUUUGAGUUGACAAGCGGGACUCCGUAAAAUAAAAAUUUCUUUGGAAACCAGAUUUACACAAGACAGGAAAAGCAAAGCCACAAGUGGAAGCUAGACAGCAAUAACAUAUACAAAAGCAAAUCAUAUAUUUGUUUGACACCUGUUCAAGCUUUGUAGUAGGUGAGGUAUACACUGAAGUGUAGAAUAGUGUCUUGACCAUCAGUGAUAUGCUGGUUGUUCUGGUUAUGCAGAGUCUCCACUAUAGCAUACCCUUUAGCAUGCUCAAACUUCCCCGUCCCGCCGAUAACAGCAAUCUGAGAGGCAUGAGAGGCUGUCCUGUGAACACCAAAGAAGCUAAUAGCAUCGUCCAAAGUGUCAUGAUGGUCAUGCUCUCUGUCUAGCAACACGGUCAGAGAAAGUGUCUGACUCGUCCCAUCCAAGGAGCUAGCCAGGUAAAACCCCUGAGCCUUCCCUAUAACCGCUGAGCCUAGCUCGUGGCUUUCGGUUAGCUCAUCGUCCACAACGGUUAUGGUUCCAAACAUGAGAUGCUGGAGAGCAGCACCUGGAGGGAGG
rnacentral:lncRNA from 1 species